rnacentral:rRNA from 1 species
UACGGAGGGUGCAAGCGUUAUCCGGAUUCACUGGGUUUAAAGGGUGCGUAGGCGGGUUGGUAAGUCCGUGGUGAAAAUCCCCCAGCUUAACUUGGGAACUGCCGUGGAUACUAUCAAUCUUGAAUAUCGUGGAGGUAAGCGGAAUAUGUCAUGUAGCGGUGAAAUGCUUAGAUAUGACAUAGAACACCAAUUGCGAAGGCAGCUCACUACACAAUCAUUGACGCUGAGGCACGAAAGCGUGGGGAUCAAACAGG